CCGCCAAAGCAAGUAUUACCUUUGGCGGUUCGUGUAGCAGUAGCA
rnacentral:sRNA from 17 species